rnacentral:rRNA from 1 species
UACGUAGGGUGCAAGCGUUGUCCGGAAUUAUUGGGCGUAAAGAGCUCGUAGGCGGUUUGUCGCGUCUGCUGUGAAAACUCGGGGCUUAACUCCGGGCCUGCAGUGGGUACGGGCUGACUAGAGUGCGGUAGGGGAGACUGGAAUUCCUGGUGUAGCGGUGAAAUGCGCAGAUAUCAGGAGGAACACCGGUGGCGAAGGCGGGUCUCUGGGCCGUAACUGACGCUGAGGAGCGAAAGCGUGGGUAGCGAACAGG